rnacentral:ncRNA from 2 species
AAGCAACACAAAGCGCCAGAACUAAACAACGAUCGGAUAAAAUUGUUUAGUUGACGAGGUGGAGGUUUAUCGAAGUUUCGGCGGAUACCUCCCGACUCCCACAUAGUCGAGAUCUUUUUCUCAAAUCACUUGAGGUGACUCGGUGGACAAAGGAAAAAGAAAUGUGAAU